rnacentral:tRNA from 1 species
UGGGGCGUCGGCAAGCGGCAAGCCACUGGGUUUUGGUUCCAGUAUUCGGAGGUUCGAAUCCUCCCGCCCCAG